GGUCGCUUCUCGCAGGCGGCGCGCUUGCUGGGUCACAGUGAGGCGGCUCCGCGCAGGCGCAGCCGGGCGGGCGAGGAGCGGGGAAGCUGACUCAGGGCUGCGGCCGGGGUCCUGCGGGGUAGGAGCGCGAGGCCGGCCUGAGGGAGGAGGCCUAGCGACCCAUCCGGCGCCUCCCGCCCCGGGCACCCGCCCGCGGCCGCGCAUCCUGCGGGCCCCAGGAGGCCUCCAUCUCAAAACAACGUGUUUUUAGAGAACUCAAGGGCUGUGAAAAGAGCAGGACCUCACCAGCUGCACGGCGGUGGUGACUGGCUCCAUCUUGCUGUCCCUCCCAAUCACACAACAUCUCCCCUUGAAGGCUCUGCCCAGGCCCGGACUCCCACCUUUCAAGAUGUCUGGAUCAGUGCAGGACCUCCUCCUUGGCCACAUCGCUCUCCUUGGACUGGUUCAAGUGAUUCUCCCACCUCAGCCUCCCAAGUAGGAUUACAGUGUUGACUCACCUGUGGAGUGGUCUGAGCCUGAAUGCCCGGGGCUGUGGCCACCGAGUGAACGGGCUGUGCUAAGGGGAAUUGCCACCUUGGGAAACCUGUGUAGUUGCGGCUUUUCUGAUUAAGUAUCAAUAAAAGUCUGACCUUGUGAAAAAAGCAAACGUGAGUGGCCCUGCUUAUGUUUCACCUUGCGUUGCUCAGUGAUAGUUCUGCAAAGUCGCAGGAAACCUGGAAUCAUCUAAUUAUCGUGAGUGUUGGUGAGUAACACCCAUAGGCACUGGCUCCCGGGGAAAUACAGAGUCAGGUUCCUCCGAGCCGCUGGCCACAGCAUUUUUGUUAAGCAGUUCCUUAUUUAAUAAUGUCUAGUUGAUUCAUUAACAUGGAAUUCAUGGCCAGUACCUCUGUCACUCAUGCCUGACUGAAGUUGAUCAGCACGUCUUUUUCUCCCUUAGGCACAUGACAGCCUUCUUGCAAUCAAGAAACUACGUGUGGCCAGGAUCUCAUCCACUAUCACAGUUUCAGCUUUCCCCAAACUGGAAUGUGUCUUUGCAGACGCCCAUCCUUAUUAAAGGGCAAAGACUUCUCAUACACCUAGGAUGGAUCUUAUAUUCUUGGCGGGACUGCAGAGAAGGUGCCGUGUCCUGAGUCCUCAUGUCAGGGCACAGGCUUCCAGCCAGUUCUACCUGGGUUAUGUUUAUCUCAAUUCCCUGGUGGUAUUGGUGUCUGCUGGGUUUUGCCAGAAUGAAGACACCGUGUUUUCAUUUGUCAGUUGAUUCGUAUUUUCCAGGAAGACAUUCUGAGAUUACAGCAUUGUCUUAGUCAAGGUGCUGCAGAAGGACAGAACUAAUAGGAUAUAUGUACAUAUGAAAGAAAGUUUAUGAAGAACUGGCUCACACCAUCACAAGGCAAAGUCCCAUGACAGGCCAUCUGCAAGCUGAGGAGCGAGGAAGCCAGCAGUGGCUCAGCCGGAGUCCAACAGCCUCAAACGGAAUCCAACAGUUCAGGCUUCAGUCUGUGGCCAAAUGCCCAGAGACCCCGGAAAGCUACUGGUGUUAGUCCCAGAGCCGGAAGGCCAAAGAACCUGGAGUGUGAUGUCCAAGGGCAGGAGGAAUGGACAGAAGCAUCCAGCAUGGGGUAAAGACGAAAGCCAGAAGACUCAGCAAGCUAGCUUACCUACUUUCUUCUGCCUGCCUUGUUCUAGCCGCGCUGGCAGCCGGUUGGAGGGUGCCCACCCCCACUGAGGGUGGAUCUUCCUCUCCUAGUCCACUGACUCAAAUUUCAGUCUCUCUGGGAGCACCAUCACACCAGAAACAAUACCAGCCAUCUAGCCACCCUUCAGUUCACCAUCACAACCAUUGUCUUAUUCAUGAAACUUCUGCAGACCCACCUUAACCUCCAUCGGUGACUUCUACCUGAAGCCCUCUGAUUGUUGCCCAGUGGUGCUUUUUAAAAUAAUUUCCAUAGUUUCUUCUACACCUUUAGUUGGCAUUCUACUGUAAAGGAGAGAUUUUAUUUUCUUACUCAUUUAUUUGUUAGUUUAUAGUCACCACCAUAUGGAUGCAGAGUUCUGUCUCAUUCACUGGGAAGUAUUCUAUUGCAGUCAUGAUUUAUUUUGAUGUUCACAUCCCAGAGUUGGUGAGUGAGCGCCCCUUCACGCUGGCUCCCGAGUGCUGACGUGUCCCCGUCCUUCUCUGCACUUUUCCUUACCUCCUGGCCUCAGAUAUUCCAGGGUCAUUUGUUCUCUCCCUGCUCCAACCCUGCAGUCAGCCAUCUCCCUAGGGACGUUGGUUCCUUUAUGGAAGGUGGCAUUUAGAAGCCAGGAUUUGGGCUGAGCACUGUGGCUCAUGCUUGUAAUCCCAGCACUUGGGGAGGCCGAAGUGGGCGGAUCGCUGGAGGCCAAGAGUCUGAGACCAGCCUGGCUAACAUGGUGAAACCCUUCCCCGUCUCUACUACAAAUAAAAAAUUAGCUGGGUGUGUUGGCACGUGCCUGUAAUCCCAGUUACUCAGGAGGCUGAAGCACCAGAAUCUCUUGAACCCAGGAGGCCGAGGUUGCAGUGAGCCAAGAUUGCACCACUGCACUACAGCUUGGGUGACAGCGCGAGACACCGUCUCAAAAAGGAUAAUAAUUUAAAAAACAGCAGGAUUUGGGUGAGCAGUGCGCUCAUUGCUUCUGGGCUCUCUCGGUGGACAUAGGCUAGGAAUGUAAGAUGUAUGUGCCUGUGUAUAUACACACGUCUGUAGCUAUGUCUAUGUUGCAUACAUGUGUUUUUCCAAAAACCAAAUCCAUAACCAUGCCUUCAGUUUCAGCCCAACACCUCCGGGCUCUUUCUAGCUUUCUACCUUUCAUGAUUGUGAAUACCUUCUCCAGCAGUGAGAAACCUGGCUCCUUUGUCCUCAGUGGAUUUUCUUAUUUGCUCAAUUUUUUUGUUUUUUGUUUUGUUUUUGUUUUUGAGACAGAGUCUUGUUCUGUCACCCAAGCUGGAGUGCAGUGGCAUAAUCUCGGCUUACCGCAACCUCUGCCUCCUGG
rnacentral:lncRNA from 1 species